AAAAGAAUAAAAAAGAAAAGAAAAAUUGCGACGUAUGCGCGCGAGUGCGCACCUGUGUACUAGUCGCGUGGCGUGCGUGUGUGCGCGCCACGAAUGGAAAAAAAUAGAGGGCGAGCGUGUGCGCGCGGCGGCGAAGGUGCGCGCGCGGAUCGUUGGAGGGAGAACGAGAAAGAGAUGGUACUUUGUUAUUUUGCUCGUGUGCGCGCAGAGAGCCGGCAAGCUGCGCGCUCGUGUUCGCGUUACUUCGUACCUCGUGUUGAAUUGGGUGUGGGAUGUGUAUGUGUAUGUGCAUGUGUGCGUGUAAGUGUGUGCACGGCCGCCUGGCACGGCCAGGUACCAAAUGCCGCAAGGUCAUGACUCGAGCAUACUACACACAUAAGCAGUACGAUGUUGCGCCCGCACAGCUCUCUUUUUCUCUCUCUCUUUCUCUCUGACUCUUUAUUCAUCUCUCUCUUUCUUUGACCCUUUAUUUAUCUCUUUCUCUUACUCUCUCUCUCUCUCUUUCUUUCUUAAACUUUUUAUCUAUCUUUCUCUCUCUCUCUCUCUUUCUCUCCCUUCCCCCUUAUUCUUUCAAUCCUUCUCCCUAUGGAGAACCAAUCUCGAGGACUACCUCUUACACCAGAAAGGACACCUUAUGAGAGGGCAACCUCAUUGGGGAAGGAGAAGAGAAAUUUACACAUAUACAUAUAUUUACAAUAUCUCUGAAUGAUCGGCACAAACUACGAGAUUCCAUAUAUUUAAGUUUCUAUAAAGUGCAACUUAAUAUUAUAAUAUACGAUUUCCAAAUCCCUCCCUCCUCUAUUCUAAAUAUACACACAUACACACACACACACACACACACACAAAUAGACUAUGCGACGAAGAUAUGUAACUGUUUACGUAAAGUUUAUCGUAAGAAUAAAAGUUCAUCGCUUCAUCUAUUUCUUGAUUGACUUAUAUAUAUGUGUAAAAAAAAAAAAUAAUGAAAAUCUAAGUAAAAAGAAUAAUAUCUAUAUUAUUUUUAAUGGAGUAAUGGAAAAGAUUCAAUGACUAUGAUCGACCAUAGAAGAACCGCUGAAUUCAAAAAUGUCAAGGAUCCAAAUUCCGUUAUGCGGCCUCGCGUAGAAACAUUAUUAUACGUCAUGGUAACAACAGCUUGGAUGAGUGGAUGGAUGGAUGGAUGGAUGUACAGAUUGGUAACUACCAUAAGUGUAUAUCUCUGAAUGAAAAUGUUCCACGUAGAUAUGUAUGUACGUGCGAUAAAAGGAAAAAGUACGGAUUCACCGGGAACGUUCGAAGCACGCAUUGUUUUUUAUUCCGUGUCUCUCUUCGCUUUAAAAAGAGACGAGUGCUUGUUUGCUGACGUCGUCAGAGAGUGGUACCGAAUGGUACCUUUACAUUCUCACGGUGGGUAAUCUUUGCCGUUUCCUAUGAGAUUGCACGUCGCAACGAGAAAAGGUACACGUUUCAAAAGAAAAUUUUUAUGAUCUGUGCAAGAAAAUCAGUAUUAAAAGGAAGGGGGGGAAGAGAGAGGGAGAG